CGACAUCUACACGCCGCUCCGUGAGCUCUCCGAGUCACCUGCAUCGCAAGGUAGUAACCCAGAUCAAGCGAUGAGUACCAUGGAUCAUUGACGAAAGUUCAUCAUGCGUGCGAAUCACACAUUCGAUUAGAAAAAUGACCGAUUAUGUUGCAGUAAACGGGCAUUUAAUUGGAUAUGCAUGCAUGCUCUGGUUAGGCUUCAAGGAGGCGAGGAAGACAUGCUGCCAGACGGGGACAAGGAAGACGAGGGUCUUCCUCUGCAACCCGGCGACGGCGGGGCUGUGCCGGAACGCCAGCGACUUCGUGUACUUCGACGGCGUGCACCCAUCAGAGGCGGCCAACCUCGUCAUCGCCGAGUCCACAAUGUCGGCCGGGAUAAGCUUAGUUACAUAACCCCAUCGGUGUGAAACACUGAAACUGUGCGGUGAUGCAGGUGCUAAUUAGUUUCGCAGGUUCUGCUGUGUUUCAGAGCCUAAGAAACAGUGCUCUACAGUGACCAAUUUGCAUAAAGAACAGUAUAGUUUGUCUCUACAAACAUGUGCAUCUGUGAAUCUGUCUCCUACAUUACUGCAACUUAAAUCCAACCUAAAUAUAUCAUAUAGUUAUUAGGGUGUUAAAAUAUUGAUGGUGUGAUGUAAUGAACAGUAUUGCUAUAUUGUAAUUCUCUUGAUAUUUGUAAGAAUGUGUGCUCUCCAGAUGAGCAAAGAAUAUCGUUGUCUUCAAGCAGCAGAUGCAUGGAGAUAAAUAUAAAGCAGCAAGUAGUUAAGAAGAGUCCUUUAAUUAGAAUGGUCGCACCAGGUUUCCGUAGUACCUAGUUGAUCUGAGCAUUUUGAUUCUUGCUUGUUAGCACAUCAAAAGAACGUUGAUCAGAACGCCAUAAGAUUACUAUUCCAGCUUCUCCGUCAAAAGAUAUCCAUCCAAUCCACCAGUUGCCCCAUGAACCGAUGUUGAACCUACAGGUAAGAGCCAGUAGCUGAAAUCAAUGCAUGCGUCUUUAUUAACAAAAACUGAUAUAUGCCUUGGAAAAAUUUGUCAAACUAACGAGGAAAAAAAAGGGAUACCUGCAGACCAUCUGCUUUGAAAUCUGCUGGUGCUUCUAUGAGAAUUGAA
rnacentral:lncRNA from 1 species